UGCUAUAAUGCAGUCGAGCGAACAGAUGAGAAGCUUGCUUCUCUGAUGUUAGCGGCGGACGGGUGAGUAACACGUGGGUAACCUACCUAUAAGACUGGGAUAACUCCGGGAAACCGGGGCUAAUACCGGAUAAUAUUUUGAACCGCAUGGUUCAAUAGUGAAAGACGGUUUCGGCUGUCACUUAUAGAUGGACCCGCGCCGUAUUAGCUAGUUGGUAAGGUAACGGCUUACCAAGGCGACGAUACGUAGCCGACCUGAGAGGGUGAUCGGCCACACUGGAACUGAGACACGGUCCAGACUCCUACGGGAGGCAGCAGUAGGGAAUCUUCCGCAAUGGGCGAAAGCCUGACGGAGCAACGCCGCGUGAGUGAUGAAGGUCUUCGGAUCGUAAAACUCUGUUGUUAGGGAAGAACAAAUUUGUUAGUAACUGAACAAGUCUUGACGGUACCUAACCAGAAAGCCACGGCUAACUACGUGCCAGCAGCCGCGGUAAUACGUAGGGGCAAGCGUUAUCCGGAAUUAUUGGGCGUAAAGCGCGCGUAGGCGGUUUCUUAAGUCUGAUGUGAAAGCCCACGGCUCAACCGUGGAGGGUCAUUGGAAACUGGGAAACUUGAGUGCAGAAGAGGAGAGUGGAAUUCCAUGUGUAGCGGUGAAAUGCGCAGAGAUAUGGAGGAACACCAGUGGCGAAGGCGGCUCUCUGGUCUGUAACUGACGCUGAUGUGCGAAAGCGUGGGGAUCAAACAGGAUUAGAUACCCUGGUAGUCCACGCCGUAAACGAUGAGUGCUAAGUGUUAGGGGGUUUCCGCCCCUUAGUGCUGCAGCUAACGCAUUAAGCACUCCGCCUGGGGAGUACGACCGCAAGGUUGAAACUCAAAGGAAUUGACGGGGACCCGCACAAGCGGUGGAGCAUGUGGUUUAAUUCGAAGCAACGCGAAGAACCUUACCAAAUCUUGACAUCCUUUGACCGCUCUAGAGAUAGAGUCUUCCCCUUCGGGGGACAAAGUGACAGGUGGUGCAUGGUUGUCGUCAGCUCGUGUCGUGAGAUGUUGGGUUAAGUCCCGCAACGAGCGCAACCCUUAAGCUUAGUUGCCAUCAUUAAGUUGGGCACUCUAGGUUGACUGCCGGUGACAAACCGGAGGAAGGUGGGGAUGACGUCAAAUCAUCAUGCCCCUUAUGAUUUGGGCUACACACGUGCUACAAUGGAUAAUACAAAGGGCAGCGAAUCCGCGAGGCCAAGCAAAUCCCAUAAAAUUAUUCUCAGUUCGGAUUGUAGUCUGCAACUCGACUACAUGAAGCUGGAAUCGCUAGUAAUCGUAGAUCAGCAUGCUACGGUGAAUACGUUCCCGGGUCUUGUACACACCGCCCGUCACACCACGAGAGUUUGUAACACCCGAAGCCGGUGGAGUAA
rnacentral:rRNA from 1 species